ACUUUUAAAGGAAACUAGAAAUCCAACGGCCUUAGAAGCCGUUCCCCUUGGUGCAAGUCCAAGUAAAAGUACCAUGA
rnacentral:tRNA from 1 species